AAUGCAUUAAAAGAAAAAAGGAUCACGGUGAUGGUUGACCCGGGCUCCCUGACCUGUACAGGCCUCUGCUAUGGGGGUGAUGGCCAGUCCUGGUGUCUGAGUGAUUCCCUGGGCCCAGCACAGGGACCAACUUUCCAGAGCCCUGAAGACAAGGGGUAACACCCCAAAAUAUGGACUCAUUUUCCACUCUACCUUCAUUGGCUGCGGAGCUGCCAGGAACAGAGGCCGCAUCUCCCAAUUCCUGGCAAACAAAUGCAGCAAAUUGAUUGCUUCUCUGAGGUACCUACCAGUGUAUUUGGGGAGAAGCUUCGAGAACAAGUUGAGCAGCGGCUGUCCUAUGAGACUGGAGAGAUUCCACGAAAGAAUCUGGAUGUCAUGAAGGAGGCAAUGGUUCAGGCAAAGGAAGCGGCUGCUGAGAUUACUAGGAAGCCGGAGAAGCAGGAGAAGAAAUGCUUACAGAAGGAAAAGAAAAGGCUAGCUGUGAGUGCCCUGGAGUCUUCAGAAAACAGCAGUAGGACCCCGGAGGAAUGUGAGGAGACAGAUGAAAAGACCCAAAAAGACGAAGAAGCAAAAGCCCCAGGAGGCUCCUCAGGAGAAUGGAAUGGAAGACCCCCAUCUGUCUCCUCCAAACCCAAAAAAUAGAAAUCUUUUUCCAAGGAGGAGCUGGUUAGUAGUGAUCGUGAAGAGACAGCUGGCAGUGGAAGUCUUACCAAGAGGAAGAAACCUUUCCCCAAAGAGGAACCAGAUAGUGACCCUGAAGAGUCAGGAAACAAGAGGGUCCCCAAGAAAAAGAGGAAAUUCUCUUCCAAGGAGGAGCCUCUCAGCAGUGAACCUGAAGAGGCUGCUGCCAGCAAGACCUGCAGCUCCAAGAAAAAAAAAAAGCUCCGAAAGCUAUCCCAGGAAAAUGAGAAUGGACAUUUCCCUAGGAGGGCACAACUUACAGAGAUAUUUCCCAACCCAUCCCCUAUAGCCCAAUAAAAAUAAAAACAAAUUCACGAGUCGAAAAAAAAAAAAAAAGGAGAUGGUUACUAAGUCAUGUUACAUUUUUGAGAAAUAAAAC